AAUAUACUCCCUCCGUCCGAAAAUACUCGUCCUAGAAAUAGAUGUAUCUAGAUUUAUUUUAGUUAUAGAUACAUCCAUUUUGUACAUUUCUAGGACAAGUAUUUCCGGACGGAGGGAGUAGCUG
rnacentral:pre_miRNA from 1 species